AAGGUUUCUUCUUCAUAUGGUCUCAGGGAGUUUUUCCUUGUCACUGUCGCCUCUGGCUUGCUCAUUAGGGAUAAAUU